rnacentral:rRNA from 1 species
UACGUAGGUGGCAAGCGUUGUCCGGAUUUAUUGGGCGUAAAGCGAGUGCAGGCGGUUCAAUAAGUCUGAUGUGAAAGCCUUCGGCUCAACCGGAGAAUUGCAUCAGAAACUGUUGAACUUGAGUGCAGAAGAGGAGAGUGGAACUCCAUGUGUAGCGGUGGAAUGCGUAGAUAUCACGAAGAACUCCGAUUGCGAAGGCAGCUUACCAGUCUGCGACUGACGCUCAGGCACGAAAGUGUGGGUAUCGAACAGG